UACGGAGGGUGCAAGCGUUAUCCGGAUUUACUGGGUUUAAAGGGUGCGUAGGCGGCUUUUUAAGUCAGUGGUGAAAUCCUAGUGCUCAACACUAGAACUGCCAUUGAAACUGAAGAGCUUGAGUCAAGGAGAGGUAAGCAGAAUUUAUGGUGUAGCAGUGAAAUGCUUAGAUACCAUAAGGAAUACCGAUAGCGAAGGCAGCUUACUGGCCUUGCACUGACGCUGAGGCACGAAAGCGUGGGGAGCAAAC
rnacentral:rRNA from 1 species